UGGUGUGAGAGGUUGAAGCUGCCAGCAUGAUCUGGUCCUUGAGAGGUUGAAGCAGAAUAUAUUCAGCAACUGAUGCUACUGCAAACUCUGCAAGUGAGAACGUAGCCUGUAUUAAGCUAUGAACUCUGCAAGUGAGAGCUAGCGCAGCCAUUCAUGUUUUUCAUCGAUCAGAUCAUGUUGCAGCUUCACCCUCUCACCAC
rnacentral:pre_miRNA from 1 species